rnacentral:rRNA from 1 species
AUUGAACGCUGGCGGCAGGCCUAACACAUGCAAGUCGAACGAGUGGCGGACGGGUGAGUAAUGUCUGGGAAACUGCCUGAUGGAGGGGAAUAACUACUGGAAACGGUAGCUAAUACCGCAUACCAGCGGAUGUGCCCCGAUGGGAUUGGCUUUUUGGUGGGGUAACGGCUCAUCAAGGCGCCGAUCCCUAGCUGGUCUGAGAGGAGGACCAGCCACCCUGGAACUGAGACACGGUCCAGACCCCUACGGGAGGCAGCAGUGGGGAAUAUUGCACAAUGGGCGAAAGCCUGAUGCAGGCAUGCCGCGUGUAUGAAGAAGGCCUUCGGGUUGUAAAGUACUUUCAGCUGGGAGGCGUUACCCGCAGAAGAAGCACCGGCUAACUCCGUGCCAGCAGCCGCGGUAAUUC